rnacentral:misc_RNA from 1 species
AUAAACAACAAUCCAAAGCCGAAUUGGCGUAUUGGGUUUUUCAUCGGCGGAGUGAAUAAGCACACCCAGGGAAACGAAAACAAAAGCUAAAUUCCACGUAAUGUCAAGGGCUACCACAGGCUUGGAAUAGCCCCAAUCGAUGCGGCGCUCUUCAAGUUCACGUGCCGCCGUCUCCCGAACCAGCAUAGAAGUUCCACGGCGGCCAGUGGCG